rnacentral:lncRNA from 1 species
UCUGCCUGUAGCUGGAGUUGGAGAUGAGAUCGGGCUCUCGUAAGAGUCCAAUCGAAGUCUACCUGCAAUGAAAGUUAGGGGCGAAGUCCGGCUCCCUUAGGAGUCCGGACAAAGCUUACCAGCAGUCAAGGUCGAGGAUGAAGCCCGGCUCCUGCGGGAGUCCGGGCGAAGCCUUCUAGCCGUUGAGGUUGGGGACGAAGUCCGGCUCCCGUAGGAGUCCGGACGGAGUCUGCCUGUGGCUGGA